UCAUCCAUCGGCAUCGAAAUCA
rnacentral:miRNA from 1 species